rnacentral:rRNA from 1 species
UACAGAGGGGGCAAGCGUUGUUCGGAAUUACUGGGCGUAAAGGGCGCGUAGGCGGCCUGCUAAGUCGAACGUGAAAUCCCCGGGCUCAACCCGGGAACUGCGUCCGAUACUGGCAGGCUUGAAUCCGGGAGAGGGAUGUGGAAUUCCAGGUGUAGCGGUGAAAUGCGUAGAUAUCUGGAGGAACACCGGUGGCGAAGGCGGCAUCCUGGACCGGUACUGACGCUGAGGCACGAAAGCGUGGGGGAGCAAACAGGG